GCGUAUAUUAAGUUGUUGCAGUUAAAAAGCUCGUAGUUGAAUUUCGGGGUCAGCAGGUUGGUCGUGCCACUGGUAUGAACUGGUCUCGCUGAUCCCUCCUUUCUGAAGAACUGUAAUGUCAUUAAUUUGGUGUUGCAGGGAAACAGGACUGUUACUUUGAAAAAAUUAGAGUGUUUAAAGCAGGCUAACGCUUGAAUACAUUAGCAUGGAAUAAUGAAAUAGGACGUUCAAACCUAUUUUGUUGGUUUCUAGGAUUGACGUAAUGAUUAAUAGGGAUAGUUGGGGGCAUUAGUAUUCAAUUGUCAGAGGUGAAAUUCUUGGAUUUAUUGAAGACUAACUACUGCGAAAGCAUUUGCCAAGGAUGUUUUCAUUAAUCAAGAACGAAAGUUAGGGGAUCGAAGACGAUCAGAUACCGUCGUAGUCUUAACCAUAAA
rnacentral:rRNA from 1 species